AAUAGACCCAAAUGGAUAUAAAUGUCAACUCAGUUCUGGGCUGGAGAUAUAGAUUUGGAAUGCACCAACAAUGCAGAUGGUAAUCCUGGCAUGCGAGUAGGGCUCAAGCACCUCUUACUGCCUCCUCACUCUGGAACCAAAUGCCUUACUGUAAGUGGCAUCUAGAUCUUGCCAGUGACUUUCCUGUACAGGGCCUACAGGAAAUGGUUUUCUCAGCAUUUAAGGUCUGCACUGCUCCCCAUUGCCUUCCCUCCCGCCUCACCAGUUGAUCCCUAUACCUCCUUCACAAUGACCUCCAGGAGGCCUCUAACUUACAGGUGAGGCAGGCAUUUUUCUAUUCCCUUAACACGACCAGUUGGUGUAUCAUGGUAAAUUUUAUUUCUCUCUCUCUUUCUAGACUGUCAGUAUCUUGGGCUUAGAGUUUUAUUUAUUUUUUUCAGCUCCACUUCAGCUGGCAAAACGCCUAGCAUAUAGUAGGAACUAAAAAAAUGUUUUCCGAAUUAAUGAAAGAAUGUAGAAUUGCAGCUCCGACUGUAACUAGUUUCCCAUGAAGACUAUAAUAGUCUAUUAUCC
rnacentral:lncRNA from 1 species